GGUUAACCGUAUAGGGGAGCCGUAGCGAAAGCGAGUCUUAACUGGGCGCUCAGUCUCUGGAUAUAGACCCGAAACCGGGUGAUCUAGCCAUGGGCAGGUUGAAGGUUGAGUAACAUCAACUGGAGGACCGAACCGACUAAUGUUGAAAAAUUAGCGGAUGACUUGUGGCUAGGGGUGAAAGGCCAAUCAAACUCGGAGAUAGCUGGUUCUCCCCGAAAG
rnacentral:rRNA from 1 species